CCUACGGGAGGCAGCAGUAGGGAAUAUUGCUCAAUGGGGGAAACCCUGAAGCAGCAACGCCGCGUGGGCGAUGAAGGUUUUCGGAUUGUAAACUCCUUUUGUUAGGGAAGAUAAUGACGGUAUCUAACGAAUAAGCACCGGCUAACUCCGUGCCAGCAGCCGCGGUAAUACGGAGGGUGCAAGCGUUACUCGGAAUCACUGGGCGUAAAGAGCGCGUAGGCGGGUUAGCAAGUCAGAUGUGAAAUCCUAUGGCUUAACCAUAGAACUGCAUUUGAAACUGUGAUUCUAGAGUAUGGGAGAGGUAGGUGGAAUUCUUGGUGUAGGGGUAAAAUGCGUAGAGAUCAAGAGGAACACUCAUUGCGAAGGCGACCUGCUAGAACAUAACUGACGCUGAUGCGCGAAAGCGUGGGGAGCAAACAGGAUUAGAUACCCGGGUAGUC
rnacentral:rRNA from 1 species